AUGCAAGCAGGAGGGGGCAGGGAUCUCUCAGGCAGCGCAAUGCCUCCCUUCCCAUCGGAGCAGCCCCAAUCCCAUUCCUACUUGCGUGCAAGCAGGAGGGGGUGGGGAUCCCUCAGCUGGGAAGGGAGGCUUCCCGUUGCCUGAGAGAUCCCCGCCCUCUCCUACUUGCAC
rnacentral:miRNA from 1 species